ACAUUGGUGGUUCAGUGACAGAACACUCGCCUUCCAUGUGGGAGAAUCCAGGUUUGAUUCCCGGCCAGUGGA
rnacentral:tRNA from 1 species